UAUGUGCGGCACCCGAUUUAAGUGUAUUGGGGGUCAGAUGUCAAAUUUCAGUUUUGACCUAAUUAUUAAAGUAUAUCCAUUUCUGAAUACAAAACCACAUAACAUAUUGUUGGAAAAUGCUUAUUUUUAUUUUAAAUUAAUUUUUUUGUGAGGCAUGUAUAUGCAUGUUUUGUCUAAUUUUUCAAAAAUACUGCGAAAAUUGCCAAAGUUUACUGCUAUAAAACAUACAGAUAACUAAAAAUAGCUACCGCGUGUUUAGUAUCGCCGGAAAGCUCCUUUUCUUGUCUAUAACGACAAGGUAAAUUUGUCAACCAAUGAAAAUAUUCCAUUUAAUUUCGAAUGUUCAAAUGAAACACACUUUUUAAAGAUUUUGACCUACAUAUACCAAAUUUCCCUACUCGGCCUUACCCCGGAAGCAAGGUAAAAUUCUAUUGGCUGGCGGACUCGGCAUUAUCAGUGUUAAAAUUUUCGAUUCGCUAGCUAGUUUAUCGCUUCCGGCGUGCCUAGUGAUGAACUGAUUCUUGUUGUGGAAUUUCAAUCAGCUGUUUACAAACUUUUUAGACAAAUCUCAUCGUAUCAAAUAUUUUUGGCGGUUUAAUAAUGUUUAAACUGUUUAGAAGUUGCGUGAUUUCAUACCAGCCACCAUUCUCUGUAGAUUCACUGCUACUACUACUAGAUUUAGUCUACACAAGCCUACCGCACACGACAAGAGUAAGCAGUGUGUUACGGUAGUUACGUGUGUGUAGUAAGUUAUUACACAGCAAGAAUUACACUGUCACCCUGUGAUCGAACCCAAAACAGACUUAUCAGAUAGAACGAUUUUUUUAAUAACUUAAGUAAUCCCCGGGUGAAGUUGGCCUGCACAUGUUACAAGUGUUCUAAUGCGUAACAAGGAUAAAAUCAUAAAAGAGUACACAACAAACUAGUCUCAUGUGUGUGAUGUUCUACAGCUGAUUAUGAAAACUACAGCCUUAAUUUUGUUUACAAGGAAUAGAUGCACGGACAUCAAGCAGCCUACAGUGUGUGUUGAAAACCCUGCAAGCUGCCCUGGUUCAAGAAUUGACCUUUGCCAAGAGAAAGCCAAGCAGUAUGAAACCAGACAAUAACUUGGAAAAAGAGCAUUUAUUUUGGUCAGUGUACAAGUAUUAACAGGAAGAGAUAAAGAGAGCUGAAGAGAUGGAUAAAUCAAUUAUUAUAGUUAUAGUGGUAGCAAUAAUUUAAAAAAAAACCAUUGAAACAUUUUGCCGGACAACUAAUCUGAAAAAAGAAAAUGCUAGAUGGCAGGAAAAAGUAGCAGUUGCCAAAAUGAAAUGUUAAUAUGCUUAACAAAAUAGAACUGUUAGGUGUGGUUCUGCCCAUUUUUUUAAACAACUUAUUUUAAGAAAAUAAAAAUGUUUUUUACCUUUACG